rnacentral:rRNA from 1 species
GAAUUCGCCCUUAGAGUUUGAUCCUGGCUCAGGACGAACGCUGGCGGCGUGCCUAACACAUGCAAGUCGAGCGAAUGAAGUUCCUUCGGGAACGGAUUUAGCGGCGGACGGGUGAGUAACACGUGGGCAACCUGCCUCAUAGAGGGGAAUAGCCUUCCGAAAGGGAGAUUAAUACCGCAUAAGAUUGUAGUACCGCAUGGUACAGCAAUUAAAGGAGCAAUCCGCUAUGAGAUGGGCCCGCGGCGCAUUAGCUAGUUGGUGAGGUAACGGCUCACCAAGGCGACGAUGCGUAGCCGACCUGAGAGGGUGAUCGGCCACAUUGGGACUGAGACACGGCCCAGACUCCUACGGGAGGCAGCAGUGGGGAAUAUUGCACAAUGGGGGAAACCCUGAUGCAGCAACGCCGCGUGAGUGAUGACGGCCUUCGGGUUGUAAAGCUCUGUCUUCAGGGACGAUAAUGACGGUACCUGAGGAGGAAGCCACGGCUAACUACGUGCCAGCAGCCGCGGUAAUACGUAGGUGGCGAGCGUUGUCCGGAUUUACUGGGCGUAAAGGGAGCGUAGGCGGAUUUUUAAGUGAGAUGUGAAAUACUCGGGCUUAACCUGAGUGCUGCAUUUCAAACUGGAAGUCUAGAGUGCAGGAGAGGAGAAGGGAAUUCCUAGUGUAGCGGUGAAAUGCGUAGAGAUUAGGAAGAACACCAGUGGCGAAGGCGCUUCUCUGGACUGUAACUGACGCUGAGGCUCGAAAGCGUGGGGAGCAAACAGGAUUAAAUACCCUGGAAGUCCACGCCGUAAACGAUGAAUAACUAGGGGAAGGGGUUUGUCUGGCCUUCGGUGCCGCCCCCUAACGCAUUAAGUAUUUCCGCCUGGGG